AAGUUUAGGGGAAAAAUAAAAAGUUUUGGGGAAUAAAAGUUUGAGGGAAAGUAAAUAGGGGGGAGUAAAAUUUUGGAGGGAAAAUAUUAAAAAAAAUUGGAGGGGGGAGGGUUUGGGAUAAAUGGGAGGUGGGAUGGGAAGGGAAUAAAAGUUUUAGGGGAAAAGUGGGAGGGAGUAAAAAUUUUGGGGGAAAAUAAAAUGUUUUGAGGGUUUUGGGGAGUAAAAUUUUGAGAAAAAAUAAAUGGGAGAGUAAAAUUUUGGUGGGAAAUGGAUUUUGGGUAGAUUGGGGGUUGGGAGGGGAGGGGAGUAAAAGUUUUGGGGGGAAAGUGGGAAGGAGUAAAAGUUUUG
rnacentral:lncRNA from 1 species